GUACAGACUACCUCCUGCUGUGGGGAGCCGGCACGGNAGGUUCAACCCCGNAAACUCUUGCCAUUUUUUAUUGCCUUCCGUCUGAACUGUAGUACACGAAAAGUUAAAACUUUCAACAACGGAUCUCUUGGUUCUCGCAUCGAUGAAGAACGCAGCGAAAUGCGAUAAGUAGUGUGAAUUGCAGAAUUCCGUGAAUCAUCGAAUCUUUGAACGCACAUUGCGCCUCCUGGUAAUUGGGGAGGCAUGCCUGUCCGAGCGUCACUGAAAUCAACUCAAGCACUUUUGUGCGUGGUCGUGGAGGAAGAGUCAGCCUCGCCGCAGUCUCCCCUCUGAAAAUCAAUGGCGGAAAGUCACCGGUACUCUGCGUAGUAGUUACGUUCGCUGAGCUUCUAGUGUCGUUCCCGCCUUCAAACCCCCACAAUUCUCUCGAUUGACCUCGGAUCAGGUAGGGAUACCCGCUGAACUUAAGCAUAUCAAU
rnacentral:rRNA from 1 species